AAGGCUUUCCAGUCCCGCCUUCCUGACUGAGAGCGGCGGCGGGGGAGGGCCCGCGGGGAGCCCGAGCUCCACCCCGGGCCCCGAAGGGCGGAGGUCGCAGGCUCCGAGCCCGCGAGGUCACUGCCGUCCUCCGCCCUCCCCCGCCCUCCCAUACCCGGCUGCUCGCGCCCAGGGCGGCUGGUCCAGGGCCGCGGGCCGCAGCGAAAACCGGGAGACGGCCGGGUUACCCCCGAUGCUUCAAGGAGGCCGACCUGGGACACCUCCACUCGCUUAUGCUUGCGGGACACCGGUACUUGCUUCCUCAGCAUCCCUUGCAGCUUUGAGUAUAAAAUGCAAGAAUAAAGACAUAAAUUGAGCAGGAUUUUGGUGAGAUUUGUAUAGACGAGGCCUCUGCAUCUCUGCUGGCUCUGGGGACCACUGUUAUUGAAUACUUACCAUGUCCUAGGCCUGGCCUCGGGCUCUUUGCAGACUCAGUGAGACCAUCCCCCCCUUGACUGCAGCACGGGCAGGCCCCUCUGGCACCACCUGUCCGUGGCCCUCACCUCACGUGAGUCUCUUCGCUCCUCCCAGGGCAGGAACAAGCACGUGCCCCCGCUCUGCCCCACAGCCUCUGGACCCACCCACGCUUGCCUCCUCUCAAGAUCACCCUCCUGGCAUCCCAGCCCUGAGUUUAGGGGCCUCGGGGAGAAGAGGCGUG